AUGCUGAGUUGUCAGUGAGUAGCCUCACCCACUGCUCCAAAAUGUAUCAGAGAAGAGAGUGUUGUCAUCCAGUCUGAAACACUGUCAGGGCCUGUGUUUCAUCGCUGUAUUUGCCGACACUUUGGCAACAGCUGGGAAAAUGAAGCAAUGGCAGUGGAGAAGUAAAAAGUCUGCAAGUGAUUGUGAUCAAUUCAUCGUAAUGGCAUAGCACUCGGAUCAGCUUACCUCAUGAUAUUUUUUCCCCUUCCUACUUCCCUCCCAAUCCUCUCUCUCUCUUCUUCUCUAUCUCUUUCAUUUGACAAGAAAGAGGGAAAUUGAGAGGGAGGAGACAGAGAGGGAAAGAGACACCCACGCCAUGGCUUCACUAGUCGUGAAACUUCCCCCUGCAGGUGGAGACCAGGGGCUUGAAUCCAGGUCCUUGUACACAGUAACGUGAGUGCUCAUUCAGGUGUGCCUCCACCAGCCCCUUGGUGAUUUCUUACAUGGUACUCAUGUGGUGAGGUGAGGGGGGCAUUAGAAUGACUCACUACCACAGAGGAAGUUUGAGAGGAGAAGACGAAGAGACUAAGAUGAGUCCAGAGAGAGAAUGUGUGGUUAUUGUUAACAGAAUUAAGCCUUAGACACAAGAUACUUUUUUUUUUUGAGAGGGAUCCUGAGGUAUCAUCACAGUUACAGAUGUCAGUGACAGCAGGGACAAGGACAGUAUUGUGGGCAGGCAAGUGGUGCAAGGGAAAACAGUAUAAAGAACAAGUAAACAAUGUGUGGGAGAUGGCAAACCAAUUACAUUAGUCUUGAGGAGAAAGGUUGCUUCAUAGAGAGAGGAUUUUGCUGGAGAACUGAAUAGCAUAUCCAAGAUUUUUUUAUAGGUUAUGUCUUGCAGAAGGAAAAUGACAUCAUGAAAACAGAAUUAAGAAGCUUUUUGGCAGUCUCUUCUCUCACUCUCUUUUCUUUCUUUGUCUCUUUCAAAAAGAUUUAUUGGGGACAGGUAGUGACACACCUGGUCAAGUGCUCACAUUACAGUGUGCAAGGUCCCAGGUUCAAGCCCCUGGUCCCCACCUAGAGAAAAAAUUUCAUGAGUGGUGAAGCAGGGCUGCAGGUGUGUCUUUCUCUCUCUCUCUCUCUCUCUCUCCCUAUCUAUCUAUCUCCUCCUCCUCCCUCAAUUUCUGUCUCUAGCCAAUAAUAAAUACAUAAAGAAUAAAAGUUUUUGAAAGAUUUAUUUAUU